rnacentral:lncRNA from 1 species
ACAGAAACAGACAUUUGUGUUGGAGUGAACAGCACGAUGCUGCAGCUCCACCUGGACAGCAGACGGUUGAACGGAAGUUUCUGUAACUUUCCUGUUGAGGAAUUUGCUUGUGCCUCGCUGUCAGGGCUGAACGCCGUGGAUCUGGCUGUGUUGUUGACAUGUCAUCGCUCCUCCAACUCCAGCAGCUCCAGACCCGUCUGGAAGCUUCUCCUCUCCAAAGCCUCACAUGUGCUGGAUGAAGCUCUGGAUCUUCUUACCAACAAGACUCUUGACCCCAGAAAUCCUGCAGUGAUGAUGAUUUUGGACGCUGUACGAGAAAUCCGCUUGGAUACAUUCGGCACAGCCGGCCUCAAUAAUCCCGCCCUCAUCCAGCUGUGGUUCAAACGACGACUUCUUCCAUUCCUGCCUGCAGUUUCGACUGACUUCCUGUCAUGUCUCACCACGAAGGGAUUGAACUGCAGCAGCUACCAGCAGAUGUACGCUCAGUUAUUCACUGUCACCUCAGUGAUUAUUUAA